GGUCCAAUAGUGUAGAGGUUAUCACAUAGGAUUCUGAUCUAGGCUGUAGAACUUACAUUCCUAUGACCCAGGUUCGAGUCCUGGUUGGACCU
rnacentral:tRNA from 1 species